rnacentral:rRNA from 1 species
CCUACGGGAGGCAGCAGUGGGGAAUAUUGCACAAUGGGGGAAACCCUGAUGCAGCGACGCCGCGUGAGCGAAGAAGUAUUUCGGUAUGUAAAGCUCUAUCAGCAGGGAAGAAAAUGACGGUACCUGCCUAAGAAUCCCCGGCUAACUACGUGCCAGCAGCCGCGGUAAUACGUAGGGGGCAAGCGUUAUCCGGAUUUACUGGGUGUAAAGGGAGCGUAGACGGCAGAGCAAGUCAGAUGUGAAAGCCCGGGGCUCAACCCCGGGACUGCAUUUGAAACUGUACGGCUGGAGUGCUGGAGAGGCAGGCGGAAUUCCUAGUGUAGCGGUGAAAUGCGUAGAUAUUAGGAGGAACACCAGUGGCGAAGGCGGCCUGCUGGACAGCAACUGACGUUGAGGCUCGAAAGCGUGGGGAGCAAACAGGAUUAGAUACCCGAGUAGUC